CUUUUUUAACCAGGUGGUGGGAGGGGGGAGAUGGUAAACAGUUCCCAGAAAAGGAAGACGACUUUGCGAACAAAAACAAUCAGUGUCCACUUCUAGGGAGGCGUGUUCGCGUUGCGUUACCAGCCAGCCAUUCUGAGCUAAGUGCCUGUGCUGCUUGAGGUACUUCGGGGAUGGGGAGAAAUCAGCCUCUCUAACCACAGCUUACAGCGGAGAGACAGGGCAGUAACUCACAAGUAAGAGAACACCCAAGGCACACAGCGAGCGAGAUUAAUUGUGUACUGAUGCAGCUGCAAGGUUUCACAGUGGAUCCAGAAAUGACAGAUUCGUCCGAGGUCAAGACACUGGGAAGUGUGCCAGUGGAGACGGCUCAGCAGGACUAACCGUGUCCCCAAAGCCCAAGCAAUUACGCAGGAGCCUCCAGGAUGACAUGGGUUGAGAUUUGCCUUUAUUUCGUUUUGAUUUGGGAGCGGAAGGCUCAAGCACAAAGAGGAUGCCAACAUAUCAGGCACUGGAGUGACCCCCAACACGUGCAGAAUACAUGAAUGCUCACUCUGGACCAGCCAUGGACUGACAGCUGCGCCCUGUAAAGAGAAUGUCCCUGUCACUGUGAAAGCCCCUUACCCUCAUUUUUUCUUUAUUACUUUCAAGAUCCACAUCCUUCCUA